ACAGGUUAAUAUUCCUGUACUUCCAGUUAUUGCGAUGGAGGGACGGAGAAGGUUAGGCCAGCCUGGCGUUGGUUGUCCAGGUUUAAGGUGGUAGGCUGAAAUCUUAGGCAAAUCCGGGAUUUCAAGGCCGAGAGCUGAUGACGAGUUGCCUUUAGGCGACGAAGUGGUUGAUACCAUGCUUCCAAGAAAAGCUCCUAAGCUUCAGAUAACUGGGAACCGUACCCCAAACCGACACAGGUGGUUAGGUAGAGAAUACCAAGGCGCUUGAGAGAACUCGGGUGAAGGAACUAGGCAAAAUGGCACCGUAACUUCGGGAGAAGGUGCGCCGGCGAGGGUGAAGGACUUGCUCCGUAAGCUCAUGCCGGUCGAAGAUACCAGGCCGCUGCGACUGUUUAUUAAAAACACAGCACUCUGCAAACACGAAAGUGGACGUAUAGGGUGUGACGCCUGCCCGGUGCCGGAAGGUUAAUUGAUGGGGUUAGCGCAAGCGAAGCUCUUGAUCGAAGCCCCGGUAAACGGCGGCCGUAACUAUAACGGUCCUAAGGUAGCGAAAUUCCUUGUCGGGUAAGUUCCGACCUGCACGAAUGGCGUAACGAUGGCGGCGCUGUCUCCACCCGAGACUCAGUGAAAUUGAAAUCGCUGUGAAGAUGCAGUGUAUCCGCGGCUAGACGGAAAGACCCCGUGAACCUUUACUAUAGCUUUGCACUGGACUUUGAAUUUGCUUGUGUAGGAUAGGUGGGAGGCUUUGAAGUGGGGACGCCAGUUCUCAUGGAGCCAUCCUUGAAAUACCACCCUGGCAACUUUGAGGUUCUAACUCAGGUCCGUUAUCCGGAUCGAGGACAGUGUAUGGUGGGUAGUUUGACUGGGGCGGUCUCCUCCCAAAGAGUAACGGAGGAGUACGAAGGUGCGCUCAGACCGGUCGGAAAUCGGUCGUAGAGUAUAAAGGCAAAAGCGCGCUUGACUGCGAGACAAACACGUCGAGCAGGUACGAAAGUAGGUCUUAGUGAUCCGGUGGUUCUGUAUGGAAGGGCCAUCGCUCAACGGAUAAAAGGUACUCCGGGGAUAACAGGCUGAUACCGCCCAAGAGUUCAUAUCGACGGCGGUGUUUGGCACCUCGAUGUC
rnacentral:rRNA from 1 species